UGACAGAUUGAUAGCUCUUUCUUGAUUUGGUGGGUGGUGGUGCAUGGCCGUUCUUAGUUGGUGGAGUGAUUUGUCUGGUUAAUUCCGAUAACGAACGAGACUCUGUCCUGUUAAAUAGAUCCAACCUAGAUCAAGGGUUGGAAUGUCUUCUUAGAGGGACUGGUGAUUAUUAGUCACACGAGAUUGAGCAAUAACAGGUCUGUGAUGCCCUUAGAUGUUCUGGGCCGCACACGCGCUACACUGAAGUGAUCAGCUAGUUACUCCCUCCCCGAGAGGGGCGGGUAAACU
rnacentral:rRNA from 2 species